UUAUUUCCUCUGAUUGGUUGGUUGGGGUAUGAUUGGCAAACCAAUGAGGUGGUAGCAGCCGUACUAUUUUAGGACCUUUAUUUUGACGGCGGGGGGGUACGUUCCUGCUGACUUGGGGUUCUCUCUCUCCCUGGUACUUCCUCUUCCGUUCCCAUUCCUAUCCAGUUAAUUUUAGAGUGGGGCUGGUAUUGUUGGCAUUGCGGGAAGUCGUGGCAGAGUUCGCUUGCAGCGAAAACGGCAGGUGGGUGAAUGCUGGCUGGUAGACUGAGUUGCGGCACCGGUAGUGAGUAGCCAUACAGCUGUGCGUCUAGUGUUGGUUCAACAUAACUCGUAAAGGGGAAAGAUCAAGAUUUUCAAGCCCUGUUCCUAGCAAGGACUUCUUGCGACGACAACGCUGCUGUUUUGCUCAGGGAUAUUUUUUGGUUUUAUUUGAUCGUGUUGCGUACGGUCAUCGGUGUGGUUAACGGGUUUGCGGCUUCGUGAGUCGCUGGGGGCUGUAACGUUAACCUCUGGGCAUUGUGUCCGCCGGGUUUUCUAUUAGUUUAAUUUCUUUGAUUUAAUUUCCUUUGUCAACAGAGUAAGUUGUUGCUAUAUUUGUUUGAUUAGUUUGGCGGCUAUUUUGUUUCUUUUGUAUUU